rnacentral:rRNA from 1 species
GACGAACCGUGCGAACGUUGUUCGGAAUCACUGGGCAUAAAGGGCGCGUAGGCGGGCCCGAAAGUCAGGGGUGAAAUCCCACGGCUCAACCGUGGAAGCGCCUUUGAUACUGCGGGCCUGGAGGGAGGCAGGGGAGUGCGGAACUUCCGGUGGAGCGGUGAAAUGCGUAGAUAUCGGAAGGAACACCGGUGGCGAAAGCGGCGCUCUGGACCUCUACUGACGCUGAGGCGCGAAAGCGUGGGGAGCAAACAGG